ensembl:lincRNA
AUGCGUGCUUACAGAUCUUUGCUGUUUUGCUUUUUAGGUGCAAACCCGAAUUAUCCUGAUGUAAUUUAUGAAGAUUAUGGGACUGCAACAAACGACGUCGGGGACACCACCAACAGAAGUAACGAUAUCCCUCCCACUGGGGUUGCUGACACAACUGGUCGGGAACAUCUCUCGGUCUAUGCUGUUGUGGUAAUUGCAUCUGUGGUGGGAUUUUGUCUGCUGAUAAUGCUGUUUCUGCUUAAGUUGGCAAGACACUCCAAGUUUGGCAUGAAAGGACACAGGAAGGCAAGAGAAAGAGGACUGUACAUGGAUUCUGAAUAGCCAAGCUACAGUGUCUGCCAAAGGUCAGGUGGAGCCCUUAGAGAGAAAGCGGUAAGGCUGUUUCAAAAGAUGGUAUUAAUUUAUGAUGUCAUAGGAUUAUAAUUUAUUUAGCUUUUCUGAAAGUCCCAAAACUCUUGCUGAUUCAGAUCAUUAAUUUAGUGAGGAAUUGUUUUGGUGGAAUAUUUGGGCAUCUUUUAUGACCAAGGGAAUUUCUAAAUCUAUUAAUUGUGGAAACAAGACGGGCGGUAGGAAUCAUAUUUCACCUUCUCACGGAACAGACUUUUUAAGUGCUUGCAAAGAAAUUUCAUGAAAACUAUUGAUGAAUUAUAUAAUUUUAAGUUCUUUUUUUUUUUUUUCAUUUGAGUGAGGCUGAAUUACCCCCUACUUCCCAGAACAAGUCAGAAGUAUUUUAUUGGCUUAAUUUUGAUUCCUUUAUGUAUAUGAAAGCAAUAAAGCUGCGUUUCUUUAAACUUAUUUCAUAACUUAGAGCUUUCAUAAAUUCACACUGGCUUUUCUUUCUAGUCUUUAUAAAUUAGAUUCUACUGCAAAUUAAUCAUAUUCUGAUAAGCACAUUGAAACAGUAGAACAUUCACUUAAGGAGGGAGCUAAAGGUGAGACAAGGUAAAGCAAGUAAAAGAAGGAAUAUCAGGCAGGUGGUUGUGUUACUCCUAGGUCAGUAAACUACAGUCUGUGGGCCACAUCCAAGCUACCAUUCAUUAUAUUUUUAUAAGUUUAAGUUUUACUGGAACACACCAGCUCACUUCUCCCACGUUGCCUAUGGUUGCUUUCCUACGGCAAUGGCAGAGUGAGUAGCUGUGACAGAGACUGAAGGGCCUACAGAGUUGAAAAUUACUCAUUAUUUGACCCUCUACAGAAGAAGUUUGGUGACGCAUACAUAAUGGCCAUGGGUGAUUCCAUGAGAGCUGAACACAGUGAGUGGCUCCUUCUUCCCCUCCAUGUGGAAAUCACUUUAAUAUUUAUGGAAAACUUUAAAAAAAUAAAGUAAAAAUAUGUGAAUAAUUUAGCAAUAGCACAUUCAGGAGUCUUACACAGGAGCCACUGGGACUACCUUAGUUUGCUCGUGUUGCUGUGGCAAAAUACCACAGAGUAGGUAGAUUGUAAACAACAGAAAUUUAUUUCUCACAGUUCUGGAGGCUGGGAAGUUCAAGAUCAAGGUGUCUGGUGAGGGCCACUUCAUAGACGGUGCCUUCUCAUCGUGUCCUCAAGGUGGAAGGGGUGGAUGAGCUCCCUUGCGCCUCUUCUAUAAGGGCACUAAUCCCAUUCAUGAGGGCCCCACCCUCAUGACCUAGUUAAUCCCCACAUGCCCUGCCUCUUGCUACCAUCACAUAGGGGAAUAGGUUUCAAUGUAUGAAUUUUAGGGAGACACAAACAUUCAGACCGUAGCAGGGACAUUGACUUUCAUACCAAAACCACUGGUUUCACUUCUGUCUUCAGCUCCACCCUGUCAUGAAAGAUGCUCUCACUGUGUUGCAUUUCAUUCAGGCACUGAGUCUGUAGCUGGCACAGUGACGGGGACCCUGGGUCUGCCCCUGGCUGGCCCUGUUGCCCUGGAUCAAGUUACUGAAGCUCUCAGAAACUCAUCUUCGUCACUUCUCAAGAGAAAAGGUGACAGAUACCGGCUGAAGAGAAUGGACUGUCGGGUCUCUAAGUUUCCUUCACAAACGUUCUCCGAUUCAGUGACGAGACAGCUCAUUUCUUACCUGACGCAAGAGGGUUCUUUAUAUUUGCGGUCUCAACUUGAGUUGUCUUUUCCAUUUGGUGCAUAUGUUGACCAGUGUAUCCAAGUAAACUAGACCUAUGUCAUUCAUCAUUUGCAACUCUUUGUGAGCAUAAAGCGUUAGCUAUUUCAGGGACAAAGCUGAGACCUAGAGUUUGCACAUAAUGGGAACAGCUCAUAUGCAUUGAGCACAUGUUAUGUGUCAGAUGCACUUCUAAGCACUCGUAUGGGUAUUAGCUUUUCUAGUCUGCACAAUGGCCUCAAGUUAAGUCCUAUCAGUAGGACUUAACUCCAUCUUACCGGUGAGGAAACAAGCAGCCUGCCCAGGGUCACACCAAGACUGGGUGUUCUAGCUUCAGAGCCCACACUGCAACCGCUCUUCUUUCUACCUCCCAGAGGGCCAGGCCUUACACAGCAGCGGUUCCUCAUCUUCACGGCGAGGUAGAGCAUAAACAGGCACGAGAGGUGCAGGUUGGCAUUCCUAGAAAACUACGAGCACUUGAAAAUUAGAACAAGACAUCUUCCAUUUACCAAAAACCUUCUCUGCGCCAUCAAGAUCAUCCUGCGAGGCUCCUUUUCGCGGCCUCCUCCUCUCCUAACUCAGAUAAGGAAAAUUAGGAUGACAGUUGUGGCCAUACAGGUUGGAAACUGGGUCAUUUUUGUAAAAUCGUCCUUCUUUGCCAAUAGCAUUGUUGAAUUCCUUCUGAGAAUUAAAAAACAAACAAGCAAACAAACGAUGUGGAACAAUCUGUGGCAGAUGGUUAUUUCAGUUCUAGGUGAGUCUUUGUCAUUAUAUUCUGGGAAGUGGAAAUUAUGGCUUUAGAUAAUCAUCUGUUAUUGUAGGGAACUGCCAGCCAGGAACUAGUGUAGAUAUAAUGGUUUAAGGUGGGGAUAUUUUCCCCCCUAGAGAUUAGUACCAUUUUCAUUUGAAUUCUGUAGGAUUUUAGGUGUCCAGUAUGAGGGGCAUUUUCAUCCUGCAGUUCCUGCGGUGAGAGUGAUCCCGGCUUAGAGGAAUCAGCAUUCCAUGCCGUGCCACUGGGUGUAAACAAGGAAGCUAACAGGUCACUUGGGGGUGGGAGAGGUGAGGUGAAAUUAGGUGUAAAGAACAACUUAGCCCUCUUCUCGAGGUUUAGCUUCCCCUGGAAAAUACGGCAAUAAACAGCUAAACCAUGGUGUUCACUACCAGCACAAGUCCCUAAUUAAUUUAUUUUAUGUUAAUUAAGUUUAUAAUUAUAUAGUAAAACAUUUACUUUCUCCCUCAAGAAAUUGACUGAAUCUUCUGAAGGGGCUUUGUGACUGUAAUUUAGGUGCAAUUAGCCAGUUAAAUUUAGUUAGGGUUUGGUUCAUUUAGCUGCUGCUGGAAGAUACUAGAUAGGCAGAAACCAGCGUCGUGGUGGGGGGAGGCAGGUCUGGGUAGAGAGGAUGUGUUCCCGGAGGCUCUUGGCUCACCUUCGGACAACUAGGGCAUCCAGUUGUCUAGGACAAUUGGAAACUGAAGAUCUGUUAAUGUCGUGGUUGCAUAAUUAUCACCUUUGUCUGUUCCUCGGUUGUGGAACUGUAGAAUUGGUUUCACAGUCAAGGUUAAAGGCAAAAUCAUUUUGCAAGAAAUAUUUUUGUGGCCAGAUUUCAAGACUAGUGGAAU